GAUGAACGCUAGCUACAGGCUUAACACAUGCAAGUCGAGGGGAAACGGCAUCGAAAGCUUGCUUUUGAUGGGCGUCGACCGGCGCACGGGUGAGUAACGCGUAUUCAACCUGCCCAUCACUUGGGAAUAACCUUGCGAAAGUAAGACUAAUGCCCAAUGACAUCCCACGAAGGCAUCCGAAUGGGAUUAAAGAUUUAUCGGUGAUGGAUGGGGAUGCGUCUGAUUAGCUUGUUGGCGGGGUGACGGCCCACCAAGGCAACGAUCAGUAGGGGUUCUGAGAGGAAGGUCCCCCACAUUGGAACUGAGACACGGUCCAAACUCCUACGGGAGGCAGCAGUGAGGAAUAUUGAUCAAUGGGCGAGAGCCUGAACCAGCCAAGUAGCGUGCAGGAUGACGGCCCUAUGGGUUGUAAACUGCUUUUAUAAGGGAAUAAAGUGGGUCACGUGUGACUUUUUGCAUGUACCUUAUGAAUAAGGACCGGCUAAUUCCGUG
rnacentral:rRNA from 1 species